AUGGAUAUGUCACUAGGAGUCUUGGUAUGGAAUGUUAGGGGGCUCAAUAACCCCGCUAGGCGAUGCUCGAUCCAGUUGUUUAUGCAGACUUGCAAUGUACCUCUUGUUUGUUUUCAAGAAUCCAAGUUGGCUGUUGUGGACUCGGUGGUGAUAAACCAGACUCUCGGGCCAGGUUUUGAUGAUUUUGAUUUCUUGCCAGCGGUGGGCACUAGGGGUGGUAUUCUGUUGGCA
rnacentral:rRNA from 1 species